AACGAACGCUGGCGGCGUGCCUAACACAUGCAAGUCGAGCGCGAAAGGAGCAAUCCGAGUAGAGCGGCGCACGGGUGCGUAACACGUGGAUAAUCUGCCUCAGGGUUGAGGAUAACCUUCCGAAAGGUUGGCUAAUACUCGGUAAGCUUACGGUGACUUCGGUCGCUGUGAGAAAACUAGACCUCUAUUUAUAAGUUUAGGCCCAGAGAUGAGUCCGCGGCCCAUCAGCUAGUUGGCGGGGUAACGGCCCACCAAGGCUACGACGGGUAGCUGGUCUGAGAGGACGAUCAGCCACACUGGAACUAAGACACGGUCCAGACUCCUACGGGAGGCAGCAGUGGGGAAUUUUCCACAAUGGGCGAAAGCCUGAUGGAGCAACGCCGCGUGUGUGAUGAAGGUCUUCGGAUCGUAAAGCACUUUCGACUGGGACGAAAAACCUUUGGCUAACAUCCAGGGGCCUGACGGUACCAGGAGAAGAAGCACCGGCUAACUCUGUGCCAGCCGCCGCCGUAAGAC
rnacentral:rRNA from 1 species